rnacentral:lncRNA from 1 species
AGAACGCCGUGCGUUUGAGCUUGAACCUGAUAAGCCUGGCAGAAGCCUGAUGAACCCAGAAUGAGUGAGAUGUGAGACAGAGUCUUGUUCUGUCGUGCAUGCUGGCGUACAGUGCCACAAUCACAGCUCACCGCAGCUUCCAACUUCUGGACUCACAUGAUCCUUCUGCCUCAGACUUCCAAGUACUUGGGACUACAGUCACGAAUCACCACAGCCAGCUUGGAGUGACUUUCUAAGGGAUAUUGAAGCCAUCCAUUGCUUUGUCUUCCAAGUUCAUCAGUGCCUGCACAACAUGGUAACAACAAAGUCAAAGACAUUCCAGACACUCUUCCGGAAAAAGGAAAAGCUAGGAUAGCCACAUAAGAAGGAUCUCCAGGAUGAAAAUAAACAAGAUAAACCAAGUUGCCACCUCCAAGCUCAGCUUCAAUAGCCACAGUUAGGUAUUUGUGGAUUCCAGCAAUUCUAUUUCAACCAUCAAUACGAUCAUAUUCAAAAAGAUGAGGAAGAUGACGAA